UACGUAGGGUGCGAGCGUUAAUCGGAAUUACUGGGCGUAAAGUGUGCGUAGGCGGCCGAGCAAGUCGAGUGUGAAAGCCCCGAGCUUAACUUGGGAACUGCGCUCGAAACUACUUGGCUAGAGUGUGGCAGAGGGAGGUGGAAUUCCACGUGUAGCGGUGAAAUGCGUAGAGAUGUGGAGGAACACCGAUGGCGAAGGCAGCCUCCUGGGCCAACACUGACGCUCAUGCACGAAAGCGUGGGGAGCAAACAGG
rnacentral:rRNA from 1 species